UACGUAGGGUGCAAGCGUUGUCCGGAAUCAUUGGGCGUAAAGAGCGUGUAGGCGGCUCGAUUAGUCCGCUGUAAAAGUCCAGGGCUCAACCCUGGGAUGCCGGUGGAAACUGUCGGGCUAGAGUCCGGGAGAGGCGAGUGGAAUUCCUGGUGUAGCGGUGAAAUGCGUAGAGAUCCGGAGGAACACCGACGGCGUAGGCAGCGCCCUGGCCGUUUCCUGACGCUGAUGCACGAAAGCUGGGGGAGCAAACAGG
rnacentral:rRNA from 1 species